rnacentral:rRNA from 1 species
UACGGAGGGUGCAAGCGUUGCUCGGAAUUACUGGGCGUAAAGCAUACGCAGGCGGGCCGUUAAGUCGAGUGUGAAAGCCCGGGGCUCAACCCCGGAACUGCAUUCGAAACUGGCGGUCUUGAGUACGGGAGAGGGAAGUGGAAUUCCUGGUGUAGAGGUGAAAUUCGUAGAUAUCAGGAGGAACACCUGUGGCGAAAGCGGCUUCCUGGCCCGAUACUGACGCUCAUGUAUGAAAGCGUGGGGAGCAAAC